rnacentral:rRNA from 1 species
UACGUAGGGUGCAAGCGUUGUCCGGAAUUAUUGGGCGUAAAGAGCUUGUAGGCGGUUUGUCGCGUCUGCUGUGAAAUUUCGGGGCUCAACCCCGAACUUGCAGUGGGUACGGGCAGACUAGAGUGUGGUAGGGGAGACUGGAAUUCCUGGUGUAGCGGUGAAAUGCGUAGAUAUCUGGAGGAACACCGGUGGCGAAGGCGGCAUCCUGGACCAACACUGACGCUGAGUGAGCGAAAGCCAGGGGAGCAAACGGG